UACGUAGGGGGCAAGCGUUGUCCGGAAUCAUUGGGCGUAAAGAGCGUGUAGGCGGCUCGGUAAGUCUGCUGUGAAAGUCCAGGGCUCAACCCUGGAAUGCCGGUGGAUACUGUCGAGCUCGAGUCCGGAAGAGGCGAGUGGAAUUCCUGGUGUAGCGGUGAAAUGCGCAGAUAUCAGGAGGAACACCAAUGGCGAAGGCAGCUCGCUGGGACGGUACUGACGCUGAGACGCGAAAGCGUGGGGAGCAAACAGG
rnacentral:rRNA from 1 species